GGGAUCUCCAAACUGACUCCAAAUCCUUUGUUCUUCCAUACAGGGUACCAUUUCGCUCUUACCUCUGGUCUUGUCAAUCUGGAAACCUAGGAAGUAUUAGGAUUUUCUUUUUGUGUGGCCAACUGGACCGAAUUUGGCUGCCCUUUUCACCUCUGCCCACCAUGAUCAUGAAGAUAAUUAUCUCAGUGGAGGACCUUUGAAAACCACAGCAGGUGUGCAGGCUUUAGGUCCGAGUAGCCACCUUCUUCCCAGCUGACAACACUUCUCUGCUCUGGCUCCAUGAGACCGAGGUUUUGAAUGUCUGCAUCUGAGUCAGUGAGGCAGCUUGACACGGGACGCCAGCGUUCAGACAAAGGAGCAAGUCCAUUUGGAGAAAUGUCAUAUCCACGUCAGGACUGGAGUGAAAAAUAAAUAUUCCUGGUUCACAACCACGACAGCACCGAAGGCUGGCUGUUCCUCCUGGCCACUUCCCAGCAGAACCAAGCAUGUGUAUAUAGAUUCCAGCACAAAUGGGCUCAUCCUAGAAGGAUGCUUUGGAGGUCUGAGAAGGACUAUCCACUCCAUGGGUGACAAUUCUCUGCUCUGGCUCUGCUAGACCCCAGGUUUUGAACGUGUGCAUCUGAGUCAGGGAGGCAGCUUGCCAUGGGACGCCAGCGUUCAGACAAAGGAGCAAGUCCAUUUGGAGAAACGUCAUAUCCACAUCAGGACUGGAGGGAUAUGGUGUUUUAUUUCAUAAGGAAGCAUGAGAAGGCUGAAAUGAAAGAUUGAGAUGUCAGAGCACGUUCAUGUUCCAUGGAUACAUCACUUAACAGUUUGCACAGGUAGGAAGGUAAGUGGAGAUAAAUAUGAAAGAAAGGGAAAGAAGGUGUGAACCAUUCAUUAGGCAGCCUUCUCCCUUUCUCAGGAAAGCCUUGGGCCAGUGUAAUUUUGGAGGAAGAGGGGGAAUCCUGGAGCUUUGCAGCAGACAUUGGAGUUCCAGGUCUGGGUAGAGGUGACGGGUCCCAGAGGAGCGCUGAGUGCAUUCUGCAGAAUGGUGUGGGCAGGACAGGCUCCCGGGGUGGCUGUGGGUCUCCCGUGUGACCGUUGUGACAGGGGAGGGCUGCGAGCUGGUUUCUGGCUGAGGACAGGUGAGGCACAGGUGGAGAGCUGGCCAAGCCCCUUCUUCAGGGCCACCAGCCUCAGCCAGCACACACAGCCUCAUCGUCUGUCCCUGUCACUCCAACUCAGACUGUCAGAGUUGCCUGGCCUUGAUGUUUGCUGGUGUUUCUUUCCUUGCAUGUGUGUGAAGUUUCAAAUCUGAGGUGAUGGACAUUAUGGGUCCUCAGAAAAUCUGUUACUCUUUUAUUUCCUGCUCUUAUUUUGAUCAGUGAAGUGAAACGGACCUGCUAGUAGAAGGGGCUAUCUGUGUGUUUUUAUAUCCUGGUUUAAUUAAACAAUGGGAAAAGAGUCUUGUGAAAUAUUAAUAGAAUCCUUUGUGGGGGUUCAUGUCCCCACUCUGGGGUGGGGGUGCUUACCUGGAGGCCUAUCCGGGGCUCUGGAAGCUUGAUCUGGUGAGUCACUUGCGACUUCAGCUUGGGAAUUGAUGAAGAAAACAGAAUGAAUGCUGGAGGUUGCCUGUAUCGUUUGGACUCAGACAACUCCGUGUAGCAUUGGAACUUUUCACCCGUGAGGCAUGUCGGGAACCCUGAGGGUGUGGGCUUUGCUUCAUGGGCUGAGGUUGUGUCUUCAUCCUUACCUGGACCAGAGCCAUGUUACCUGGCAAGGGAGAUCCAAAUCCUUAGGUGACCAUAUCAUCAUAAUCAUGAUCGUGAUGAUUAAUUAUUAAUUACUAUUAUUAUUUUAACAAAACAAGACAGACAUUGACUUUGAGAUAAAAUUAUCGAAAGGAUCAACAGAAGGUCAAAUAUAUAUGUGAUGAUUGAACUUUUUAUCUCUCAUUGGUGUGGGUCUUGUACGCCUGCCCGAAAGAGAAAGACCAAAGAAUUCUAUGUGGGUAGAAGUAUGCGGUACACAGGGAGUGUUUUAUUCCAUCAUUUGACCUCUCUCUCUGAAGCGAAAAUAGAGUGGUGCGUGGAUCUUGGUUCUGGUUGGAAGACCUGGGAGACCAGUGAAUCAAAAGGGCAGUGUUCAUGUUGAUAUGGUGCUCAGUGCCCAGUGAGCAAAGGUUGGAAGCUUGGACUCGGAAGCAUUGGUGUUCAGGGAAAAUGUUGUCUGAGUUUACAGCACAUCAAGUCACUUGGCUGGUCUGUGUAAUCGGGCCAGUUUCAGCCUCUCUAAGGGCAGCUUGAAAGUGGCUUCCACCCUAGGCCAUUUGCGGAGUGGUCUGCACGGGACCCCUGUGGGGGCCAGUGUAGGCACAACCCAGGGAAUUCCAUAGCAAACGAUGAACAUGUUUGUGAGGCUGGAGUUUGCUUCUCUGUGAGAAGGAUUGAGUUGGAGUGGAAAGAAGUCUCUGGGUCUUAGGACUCACUGAGCGGGUCCAAGCCUGGCAGGGUGGUCAGAUCGAUGUCUGUGUCCCAGGAUUUUGGCCAGAGGGAGAUUUGGGCCCUGGGCAGCGUCUCUGCUCAGCUUUCUUGGAUGAGCACCUCAGGGAAGAGGAGUAAAUCUGUGUGCUCACCUAUCAUCGAGGAAGGUGUCUGGUUUCAGGUUUCGUGUGCAGGUGGAUUCCUCAUAUGGUCCCUUACCUGAUGGUGUUCAGGGUGCAGGAGAUGGGUGGAAACCCUUGUCCCAGGCAUCCUGGCUGUGUAAGAGUCCUGGGGCACCUUUUCACCCAGGGCUUUGGACCAGAAAAUUGGGGGCAGUAUGUGGUGAAGCCAUCAGUUGAUGCCUCAGUUUCUUCCCUGCCAAGAUGAACUGGAGAGUAUAAUAAGUGCUAUGGAUAUAUAAAGCAGGAGACAGGACUGGGGGUGCUGAAGGGGAGCUGGGGGUGGUGUUUAGUAUUCACGUAGGGGUCAGGUGGUAUUUCACUAGGAGGGUGAUACUUGAGUCAAGAUCUAGGGAAGGUCAGUGACAUCACAUGAAGAGCAUUCUAAACAGAAGAGAAAGCAUGUGCAAAGGUCCCAGGGCAGGAAUAUACCAAGUGCAUCCAUGAGGUGCAAGAUGGCCCUGUGGCCACAGGUGACAGCUUAGGACUUGACAUCAGCGAGGUGACAGAGUGUGACAGAAAGCCAUUGCAGGGCUGUGACCCCAUGGGACCCUGUUUCACUGCGCAAAUCUGGCUGCAGUGUUGAGAAGAGAUGACAGAGGGCUAAGGAUGGGCAAGGGAGGUCAAUGAUGACACUUUUCCAGGAACUCAGGCAAGAGGUAGGCUCCAGUGUGGACCAGACAGGUGUCCUUGGGAGGAGUGGUGAGUCCUAUUGUGGGUACGUCUUGAAGAUGGAGCUCACAGGAUAUGCUGAUGGCUUAGAUACUGGGGAUGGGGGAAGGAGCAACUGGGGUAACUCCCAGUUGUUGUGGGUUGUCCUGAGCGAGGGGAAGGAGAAGGUUUCCAGGGGUAGGAGGUAGUCCGUGUUCAGCAUGCUGAGGAAGGUGCCUUUCCCUGUGGAUCUGCUGAGGUUUGUGUCCAGGAGAACUUUUCACAUCUCCUCCCUCAGCAACGUUCAAGUACAAGUAUUCCCCACUUUUUAAAAGUUCAUGGGAAGACACUUGGCCUUUUGGAAAGAUCUCCGUUAUCACCUGGUUACACUAAUGGGAAGAAACCUGAAGAGGAUUUUCCUCAUGAAAAAAGGCGAAUGGUGAGCUUUGCGUUCAACAUCUGUUUUGGGGAGAAGCACGACAGAGGCGGCGUGCACCCUAACCAGCUCCUACCUGGGAACCCCUCUCCACAAUCAGCCACCAGGACUUUGAUUUGUGUCUGUGACCGUCUGCUAUGCUUUAUCUCCAUUUAUUUUUUUAAUGUUGUUUUAUUAUAUUAUGUUAGUCACCAUACAGUACAUCCCUGGUUUCUGAUGCAAAGUUCAAUGAUUCAUUAGUUUCAUAUACCACCCAGUGCACCAUGCAAUACAUGCCCUCCUUACUACCCAUCACCAGUCUAUCCCCUUCCCCCACCUCCUUCCCCUCUGAAGCCAUUUAUUUUGGCAUCCAUUAUGAGUUGUGUUCUAGGGCUUAAGAUAUGCCAAUGAUAAGUAAAUUUAGGAGUCUGAGCAUGGUCACUAAUUUUUCCAUAUUAAUUAAUGGUCAUUCCUUCUUUACACCCUUUCUGCUGUGAAAGGUUUCCUAGGAGUACUGUACUUUCAAAGAGCUGGGGAACCUGUACCCCAUCCUGCAGGGUUCGCUUUAGUCUCCAUGCUGCACAGAUCAUUCCAUGGCUGUCAGAUUUUAACACUCGAAAAAUGUAUCUUUGACCAUCUUCACCCUUGCCCCCUUCCCCAGAGUCAGAAACUGUUCUCAGUUUCUAUGCGUUCAGUAUUUUUUUUCCCCAUGUGGUAUGUACAUGAGAGCAUCUAUAAUUACUCUUCUGUGUCUGAGUUCCUCAGGAGAGAGCCCCAUCAAUCGCCUGAAAGAACACUUCCAUGGAUCCCCUGUGAGGCGAGAAUGAUGCCUGGCCCUGGAGGGGGACCGCAGUUCUGCCCUCAUGAGCCAUGUCUCCCAUUCCCACUUUCUCAGAAAGACCUCUCACAACCAAUACUAGGGUUAGGGGUCCAAAUGGUACAGUUUCCAUCUGUGUGGAAUGCUGAUUCACCGGUAUGGCUCAAGCUUCCCCAGUCGCUGUGUGUUUGCCUCCUGGAAUGACCUCUGGGAACCCAAUGGAGCAUUUGGCUUAGGGCUCAGGAGCAUGCGAGGGACCAUCUCCUGGGUUUGAGCUCACCAUUCCCGUGUCCUGAUUUGAAUAGACCCUGUUUUCCACAAUGCUCCCACUUCAUGACACCAGAUCUGAGGUGCAAGAUGCUUUUAUAUAGAGUGAUCUCUCCUAGCAUAAAGCAGGUAACACCUUCCUUAUACAUUCGUGGACACUUUUGAAAAACUUGCCAUCUUCCUAACAUUAGAUGUGACAUGGAAGAUGAUGUCUAUUCAGUGCUCUGACUGAGAUUUCUGUAUAUUGCCCUUUCCUUAAGGUUCAACACACGUAUUGGGAAACACGUGUCUCUUCAUGGGUCACGAUGUUAGCUCGAUGUUGCAUUCUAUCAACACAGACUUGGUUCUCACAACUACUUAGAACCUCUCCUUAUGCUUUCAUUCACACUUCUCCAAAUACUUCCAUCUUCAUUACAGAAGAUGUGAGUUGGAAGAUCUUUUCCAAAGGGUGUUCUUACCUGAGGAUACAGCACGUUCCUUAAGUUUUCAUACAGACUUUUGGAAAACACAUCCAUUUCAUGAAGGUAGAUGUGAAUGGGAAGGUUGUCUCUAGAUGGUGCUCUUUCUUAGUGUUAAGCGUAUGGCACUUCUCUUAAGGUUCAACACAGAUAUUUGAAAAAGCUUCUCUCUUCAUGCGUCAGGAUUCUUGAAGUUGCUUUUUCUAUACAGAGGCUUGGUGCUAACAGUUGAGUAAAUGGCAUUUUGUUACACGUUCCCUCUCAAGCCAAUGCUUCCAGCUUCAUGAGAGAAGAUGUGAGUUUCAGAGAGUUUUCUACGGAGUUCUUUCUUAAAAUUACUUACAAUAAUUCCCUUAACGCUGAGAAACACAGUUCUGAGAAUGCUUCCAACUUCAUAAAAGAAGACGGGCUUUGAAGGAUAUUCGGUAUGGUCCUUUCCUGAAGUUAAGUCUCUGUCACUUUCCUUAUGCUUUCAGCACAACUUUGCAAUUGUUUCCAUCUUCAUGACAGAUGUUGUGGGUUGUAAGAUGCUAUCUACCCAGUGCUCUCCCCUACUAUUAAGUUUAUGGCACUUUCCUUAAGGUUCAACACACAGGGAAGAAAACCCUGGUUGAUUCAUUCUUUAGGCGGCAAUUUCGAUAUUGUAGUCUAUCUAUACAGGCUUGGUUCUCAGAAUUAAGUAGACUUCACUUUCUUUACGCUCUAACACACACUCUUGCCAAGGCUCCCAUCUUCACUACAGAGUGGUGAGCUGAGACAUGGUGUCUAUACAGUGUUCUUUUAUCCUGUGAAGCAAUGCGCUUUAUGCUUCUGUUUUCUUACACACUUUUGCACAUGCUUCCGUUUUCAUGACAGAAGACUGUGAGAUGCAAGAUGCUUUCUCUACCGUGUUCUUUCUUAGACUUCAGUACAGGGCACUUUCAUUCUGUUUUCUUAGACACCUGUGCAAACGGUUUCAUCUUCACGAAGGAUGACGUGAGUUGGAAAACGGCUUCAACACAAUGUUACUUCUUAAAUUGGUUAAUGGCCAUUUCCUUAUGCUUUCAUUCACACUCUGAAACAUGCUUCCAUCAUCAUGACAGAUGAUGGGGGUUGGAAGACCCUUUCCACCCUCUCUUCUUACUGAGAGUUAUGUCUAUGGCAGUUUCCUUAAGGACCAACACAUGUAUUGGGAAACCCUGGUAUCUUCACUUAUUAAUGUUGCUGUCUCUCGACACAAACUUGGUUCGCUGAAUUGACUGAUGGAACUUUCUUUUCGUUUUCACACUUUUCGGACGUCUUUCCUCCUCAUGACAGAUGUGAGUUGAGAGAUGCUGUCUGUGUAGUGUUCUUACGUAGUUAAAUGAAGGGCAUUAUCGUGAUGCUUGCAGACACCGGUUUGCACAGUGCUCCCACUUCAUGACACCAGAUGUGAGGUGCAAGAUGGUUUUGUGUAGAGUGUUCUCUCCCAGCGUAAAGUAAGUGACAAUUUCCUUAUGGAUUCGUAGACAAUUUUGAAAAACUUGCUAUCUUCCUAACAUUAGAUGUGACAUGGAAGAUGGUGUCUAUUCAGUGUUCUGACUGAGAUUUGGUCUUUCCUUGUAUAGUUUUGUGUCUCAGAGAUUAGUUUUUGGUACUUUCGUUAGGCUUCCACGUCCCAUUUGGUUAAUGCUUUCAUAUUCACAAAUGAGGAUGUUAGGGCUAAUUGGGUUCCCGUACACUGUUGUUUCUUACAGAUAAGAUUAUGGCAUUAUCUUUAUGUUCCCACAACAUAAAGAUGAUCGGGGCGCCACCGAUCAUUCAGGGCGGGAGAACGGGCAAGGCCCUCGGAGCCCCCGGCGACCUUCGAAGGCCCCCCACGCCGAAACCCUUGGGCCCACGCUCCCCCUCCCCAGCGCCCUCAACUCAGACCGCCCCUCUGCUCGCUGCACAGCCAUCUGCUCCGAC